UCAAACAUUAGAAUUUCAAUCCGAGUCCCUCACAGUACGACUAAAACGCAUGAACGCCCCUCCACGUGCGAUCUCACGCGAAACGGUACAUAAAAUUUCGUGACUUUUGCGAAAAUACCGUUUUGCUAACACCGACCUCUCCUCGAUCAACGCGCGAUCUCCGCAGAUCCGUCCGUCAGAUUCGCGAACGGAUCACACCAGUGCGAUCAGCACGACAGAGACAACAAAGCUCAAUUUCGUUUCGUCUCGAUCGACCACGGAUUCACGACAAAAUCCAACCUUUCAUUCCAAUCGAAAGAAACACACAAAAAUACAUAUAAAACAUGUAUUUUUGGAUUUUCUCGAAAUCCGUGCGUCAAACUCAAAAUUCGUCAACGCCAUUGGUUCCAGAACAGCUGACCCGGUCGAAACGAGCUAUUGGACUGCUUUGAACAAAGUCCGGUACGAGCCAGAAGCCAACUUCUCACCGCGGCUUCUCCGGAAAAUCGAGUUACUAUUCACUUUAAGUGAAACUUGGAAAUCGCGUAGAAUUUCCGUUUUAACUCGUUUUUGCCCGAAACUUGACGAGUGCUUUUAUAAUUAAACUACACACAAAAACAUCGUCAACUGAGAGUUUAGCUACACUGCAAAAAUCUCAGUCCUUACAACCUGCCACAAAUACAAAAUUCCUCUGUCCACUCCGACAGAGUCUCCUUUGUAUUUGCACGGCGUACCAACAACAUCUGGAUCUCAACCACAACCUACAUUUACCGAUCAACAACCAAUUCAUGCCGUGCAUAUCCAUACAGCUAGCGAUCCUUAAAGAUGAUGCAUGCCUCUAAACACUCCUUAGGCGCUGGAUGAUGCAAUGCAUAAUACAACAA
rnacentral:lncRNA from 1 species